ensembl:lncRNA
CUCGGACUCAACUCGGGCCCUGCAAAUUGGCCAGGGCACCAGCCGUUUGGUGGAGGCCAUUUGCAGUCAGCUCUGCCAAAUCCAUCCCAGCGCCACGCAGUCUGCCGGCGUCAAGAAGAGCAGGUGGGCGCUCAUUCUGGCAGACGACGUGGCCAUUAGGGAGGCAGUGCUGAACAGCCCAAGGUUGAUGGCCCAGACGAACCUUCAGCUCUUUGAGCUGAAUCAAAGGACCAUCAGUCAGUGGUAUUCCCGGCGUCAGAAGGAGAGGAUGGUGCUGUAGCAGGGAUUGAGGCUCGCUGCUGCCCCCAGCGUCACCACCCAGCGUCUUCGCCCAGCGUCACCGCCAAGCCCCUCCACUUCAAGCAGGAGGGAAUCAAGGCACCCUUCCCUUUCCCUACGCCGCCCUCCCCCCGGUCCCACGCCAGACCACCCAGCAAAGAGAGCCCGUCCACGUGCCCAUUCUGCCAGCCCACCUGGAGCAACAACCCCCCGCACUUCCCGGCCCCUCCCAAGCCCAAGGACCACAGACGGGCUGCUCUUCACCGCCCCUGUGCCAAGGACAAUGGCUUGGAGGAGGAUGGCGAUGGCGGACACAGAGGAGGUGACAGCCGGGAAGAGAAGGCAACGUGAGCAUUACAUCUGCGCCAAAUGCGGGUUGCCGAAGUGGCGGGAGAUGGGCCACAGCCGCUUUGGCGGCGUGGAGUUCUGUUGCUGCAGGGGGUGAGAACGUGGUCCAGUGGCUGGUGGAAAUGAAGGACACUAAGGGAUGAGGUGAAGAACACUGAGCCACUGGCUGGGUGGUCAGACGUUUUUAUUUGUAAAUAGUUCACUGUUCCCCUCUACCUGGACCGAGACCUUGAGUGCGUUGUAGAGGCUUGUGUGUGUUGAGGACCCUCAGAGCUAUAUUGUCUGUAGUCUAUAAGACUACUGGUAGGGUAACCCAUGGUAGGCAGUUCUGAGGCGAGACACCAGACUAACAUCGGUCCGUUCCCAAACAAAAUACUGUAAAAAAAUGAAGAGGAUAGACAUUAAAAUAUACAAAUCAAACAUGAUUUAUCAACACAUCUUCAGAUACUAACUGCACUGGCACCCCUGCACAGGUGGCUGAAACUCCAUAACCACAGUUCACAUCACACACAGUUUCACAACAGGCGCACACACCUCAGCACAGAGAACAAAGAACUCAGCUCUGCACCAAUGGAGAAGUGACAGCGGGACCAGACCAAGCCCUGCUGUUCCACGCCAACCAGUCCGAAGCAAGAACAAAGACGAUUCUACCUACGUCAUUUCAAUGUAUAAAGUGAACUGCACAUCAUGUUUCAGGUCUCUUCUUCCGAUAGUUCCCUAAGAGCUAGACGAACGGGGCCGUGCAGCACGCUUUGCCAGAUAUCAUUACUCUUGAAUAAACGGCCUUUACUAUACCUUAUCCGCCUUGUCCAGGGUCUCAACUUGAUCUCGUUUCUCAUGUAUCUAUUCAUCAACAGUAGCUAGAACACAUAGGUAAAACAAGGUAUGACUAGCUUACCUUUCGCAAACAUUUCUGUUCACAUUUCGGUCAGUGGCCCAGAUGCACUGUACAUUAGAGGAAUUAUGGUGUUAUUUUGUUUGUAGAGAUUGAUGACAUUUAUUUCAUGUUUAUUGGAUUUACAUUGCAAUAAUUAUCUUCCGUUUCG